GACGAACGCUGGCGGCGUGCUUAACACAUGCAAGUCGAACGGAAAGGCCCUGCUUUUGUGGGGUGCUCGAGUGGCGAACGGGUGAGUAACACGUGAGUAACCUGCCCUUGACUUUGGGAUAACUUCAGGAAACUGGGGCUAAUACCGGAUAGGAGCUCCUGCUGCAUGGUGGGGGUUGGAAAGUUUCGGCGGUUGGGGAUGGACUCGCGGCUUAUCAGCUUGUUGGUGGGGUAGUGGCUUACCAAGGCUUUGACGGGUAGCCGGCCUGAGAGGGUGACCGGCCACAUUGGGACUGAGAUACGGCCCAGACUCCUACGGGAGGCAGCAGUGGGGAAUAUUGCACAAUGGGCGGAAGCCUGAUGCAGCAACGCCGCGUGCGGGAUGACGGCCUUCAGGUUGUAAACCGCUUCCGCCUGUGACGAAGCGUGAGUGACGGUAAUGGGUAAAGAAGCACCGGCUAACUACGUG
rnacentral:rRNA from 1 species